rnacentral:rRNA from 1 species
UGGGGAUUUUCCGCAAUGGGCGCAAGCCUGACGGAGCAACGCCGCGUGAGGGAUGAAGGCCUCUGGGCUGUAAACCUCUUUUAUCAAGGAAGAAGAUCUGACGGUACUUGAUGAAUAAGCCACGGCUAAUUCCGUGCCAGCAGCCGCGGUAAUACGGGAGUGGCAAGCGUUAUCCGGAAUUAUUGGGCGUAAAGCGUCCGCAGGCGGUUUUACAAGUCUGUCGUUAAAGCGUGGAGCUUAACUCCAUUUCAGCGAUGGAAACUGUAAGACUCGAGUGUGGUAGGGGCAGAGGGAAUUCCCGGUGUAGCGGUGAAAUGCGUAGAUAUCGGGAAGAACACCAGUGGCGAAAGCGCUCUGCUGGGCCAUAACUGACGCUCAUGGACGAAAGCCAGGGGAGCGAAAGGGAUUAGAUACCCCUGUAGUC